GAGGGAACUCAGAAGGAGGAGGC
rnacentral:piRNA from 1 species